CCUACGGGAGGCAGCAGUGGGGAAUAUUGCACAAUGGGGGAAACCCUGAUGCAGCGACGCCGCGUGAGUGAAGAAGUAUCUCGGUAUGGAAAGCUCUAUCAGCAGGGAAGAAAAAAGACGGUACCUGACUAAGAAGCCCCGGCUAACUACGUGCCAGCAGCCGCGGUAAUACGGAGGGGGCAAGCGUUAUCCGGAUUUACUGGGGGUAAAGGGAGCGUAGACGGUGAAGCAAGUCUGAAGUGAAAGGCCGUGGCUUAAACACGGGACUGCUUUGGAAACUGUUUGACUAGAGUGCUGGAGAGGUAAGUGGAAUUCCUAGUGUAGCGGUGAAAUGCUUAGAUAUUAGGCAGAACACCAGUGGCGAAGGCAGCUUACUGGACAGUAACUGACGUUGAGGCUCGAAAGCGUGGGGAGCAAACAGGAUUAGAUACCCCAGUAGUC
rnacentral:rRNA from 1 species